UGGGGAAUAUUGGGCAAUGGGCGCAAGCCUGACCCAGCAACGCCGCGUGAAGGAAGAAGGCUUUCGGGUUGUAAACUUCUUUUCUCAGGGACGAACAGAUGACGGUACCUGAGGAAUAAGCCACGGCUAACUACGUGCCAGCAGCCGCGGUAAUACGUAGGUGGCAAGCGUUAUCCGGAUUUACUGGGUGUAAAGGGCGUGUAGGCGGGACUGCAAGUCAGAUGUGAAAACUUAGGGCUCAACCCUAAGCCUGCAUUUGAAACUGUAGUUCUUGAGUACUGGAGAGGCAGACGGAAUUCCUAGUGUAGCGGUGAAAUGCGUAGA
rnacentral:rRNA from 1 species